UUUUUUUUGGUAAAGUUUCAUCUUGUACACGAAAAAAAAAGUACCAGCGGCAGUAAAACGAAUACCUAGGUACAAUAUACAUUAUACAUGUAUACAGUAUACGAAUUAGUCAUACAAAGAAGAGGAGUCAUUGCAUGGGGUUCAUUUUGACUUCGAUAUAUAAAGACAUGCGAUGUACCACUUUAUUUAUUAUUUAAGCGGGGGGGGGGGGGGGGGGGGUGUUAAAAGUGACAUAUAUAGGCCCGGUGGGCCGGGUGUUUAAAUUCCUAUUAUUCUGUAUAAUGUAUAUUUCUAUUCUGUAAUGUAUAAAACACAUGUCACUAUAAUAAAUCAUUGAAUAACUUACUAUGUCCUUUUUUAAAGAAUAUUUUCAUGAAAAGAAAAUUUCUCUUGUGUUAACUAUACUCUACCGGGGUUACCUUGCAGAUAAGUAUGAUGACUUUGUACAAUGUGGAAUAUCAGAUUGUCAAUCCAUUAUAAUAAUUAUUUUGAUCUUCAUUGACUUUCAUUCCAUGCUGAAGAUUGGAUGACUCUUGCUAAUCCUCCAGUAACAUUUGACAAUUUUGAAUCAAUAUUCUUCCUAAGGAAUGUAGAACUUUUAGGAAGUAGUUUUUGCUGACAAUUUGUUGUAUGGAGUACAAGGAUAAAAUAUUUUCACUCAGUGAAAUUCGAUUUUUAUGCUUUUAGAAAAUUGAUUUGAUAAAAGAUUUGAAAUAGCAAGAUAGCAAGCUAUUAAAGCUAAAUAUAGAAAUGUAAACAGAGCUAGGCCUAUUUAUAGAAAAGGUAUUUCCAAAGAGUAAUUGCUAUAUAUAUUUAUUUUCGACUAUCUACGCAACUUCACUAACCCUGUCUAUUUGGUUUGGGAUAUUGCUUGGAAUAAAAAAAAAAUUCGUUCCGAACUUAAGCAGAAUUUUUAGGAAUAUACAUGUACUUGGUUUUGUGUCUAGUUACUAGUACUAAUAGCAAGCAUUAAUUGCAACUGACGUUUAUACAACCCACGGUUCAGUUUGUACAUUGAACGUAACGUCACAAACAUUUUCAACAUGUUUAAAAACUGAAAAGUGAUUUAAGAUUUUAGGUUUACUCAAAUAAAAGUAGGCCUACCUCGCGUCUCCUCCAUCGUAACGUUGAGAUGAGACAGUAUUUAUAAAGUUGUUUAUUACUAGAAUGUGAAGGUCAGUUAAAUACGGAAGCAUAUACGUGCCUUUUUUGAUUGGGUGAUCUAAGUUUACUUACAAAUGUAUUUACAGCUCUUUAGAAGUGGACGGGGGUGGGGCUAAACUGUUUUGUUGUUGUUGUUGUUUGUUUGUUUUUUUUGUUUUUUUAAAGAAAUAGCUUAUGAAAUUCGCAGCAGGUCGUGUAUAUACAGAAUACGUAAUAUUUUAUUUCUAUUUCAGAGUCCAAAAUAGAUGAACAUGAGAUGCAUCUAUUUAAGAAAUAAGGUAUCAUUUAAAAAUAUUUAUCGGGAUAUAAAUACGGGUUGGUCACGUGAUCAAAAUUUGAUCAUGUACCAACCCGUAUUUAUAUCCCGAUAAAUAUUUUUAAAUGAUACCUUAUUACUUAUAUUUACAUUUUUGGUUGGUAACAUUGCUGAAUUGUGUUAACAACACGUUUCCAUACAUUUCAAAUUGUUGACGUCCACAACGAAGCGUCAUAGAUGUUCAAAAUGACGACAACACAAAACAAAGUUCUAUAAAAUGAAGAACUGUUUUAAUUAUUAAGACGCUAGAAAGGAAGUAUAUCAACAUAUACUUAUACAUUAACUCGGGAGUAUAUAAUGGAAAACUCUUCCAUAUGUCUAAUUUUAGGGGGUGGGGGAAUUAUGAUUUAAACGGGGAUGCGCAGUGUUACACUUAGAGUUGUGAUGCGCUUUGACUUUUGAAAAGUGAAGACGUUGAAGACCGACUUUGAAAGAUAUUCUGUGGAUAUUACGGAGUUAACAGAAGACUGAGAUGGAGGAACAUGAAGAACAGGGCGGCAGUCGUCAGGUGUAGGCAAAUCUUUUAUAGACAGGACAGAGGACGCAGCUCAGAUGAAUCUCCGGAAAGAACUGAACAUCGCAGAGAAUGUGGAACUGCACGAAGGUUUUUAACGACGCCUCGCUUCGAUGUCCCGACAUAAACUUGGAAACCGACAUCAAGCACUAUGGCUGCUGUGGCACGGAAGCAGUGUGGUGUGUAGGUCUUAAUGCACUUUGACGACUUAUCGGCCAUACACCCUGUGAAUGACCUUUUUGCUAAAGCCUAAUGUCAUCGUCUAGCAGUAAGUACAAUUCCGCAUCACCGAUGACCAGGGUGAAGUUGUAGCAGACGAAAUUUUAGACAUACAUUAGGCCUAGUAGGCUAGUAACUAAAGACAUUGUUUACAGAAAUGUUUUUAUCAAUUAUUGAUGAAAGUUCACUGCUUGGAAUACAAAUAAAACCGUAAAUACAUAU